GACGAACGCUGGCGGCGUGCCUAAUACAUGCAAGUAGAACGCAGUUGCGAACGGGUGAGUAACGCGUAGGUGACUUCCUCAUAGCGGGGGGUAACUAUUGGAAACGGUAGCUAAUACCGCAUAAUGUGAGCUGGACCUGCGUUGUAUUAGCUAGUUGGUGAGGUAAAGGCUCACCAAGGCGACGAUCCAUAGCCGACCUGAGAGGGUGAUCGGCCACACUGGGACUGAGGCACCGCCCAGACUCCUACGGGAGGCAGCAGUAGGGAAUCAUCGGACAUGGACGGAAGUCUGACCGAGCAACGCCGCGGGAGUGAAGAAGGUUUUCGGAUCGUAAAGCUCUGUUGUUAGAGAAGCGGUACCUACCCAGAAAGGGACGGCUAACUACGUGCCAGCAGCCGCGGUAAUAC
rnacentral:rRNA from 1 species